CCCUUAGAUGUUCUGGGCCGCACGCGCGCUACACUGACGAAUGCAACGAGCUUAUAACCUUGGCCGAAAGGUCUGGGUAAUCUCCAAAUUUCGUCGUGAUGGGGAUAGAUUAUUGCAAUUAUUAAUCUUCAACGAGGAAUGCCUAGUAAGCGCAAGUCAUCAGCUUGCGUUGAUUACGUCCCUGCCCUUUGUACACACCGCCCGUCGCUCCUACCGAUUGAAUGGUCCGGUGAAGCGUUCGGACCGUGGCCUUUGGACGGUUCGCCGUCUGUUGGCUGCGAGAAGUUCGUUAAACCUUAUCAUUUAGAGGAAGGAGAAGUCGUANCA
rnacentral:rRNA from 1 species